AAUAGAUACCCCAGGUAGUCCACGCCGUAAACGAUGAGUGCUAAGUGUUAGAGGGUUUCCGCCCUUUAGUGCUGCAGCUAACGCAUUAAGCACUCCGCCUGGGGAGUACGGCCGCAAGGCUGAAACUCAAAGGAAUUGACGGGGGCCCGCACAAGCGGUGGAGCAUGUGGUUUAAUUCGAAGCAACGCGAAGAACCUUACCAGGUCUUGACAUCCUCUGCCAACCCUAGAGAUAGGGCGUUCCCCUUCGGGGGACAGAGUGACAGGUGGUGCAUGGUUGUCGUCAGCUCGUGUCGUGAGAUGUUGGGUUAAGUCCCGCAACGAGCACAACCCUUGAUCUUAGUUGCCAGCAUUCAGUUGGGCACUCUAAGGUGACUGCCGGUGACAAACCGGAGGAAGGUGGGGAUGACGUCAAAUCAUCAUGCCCCUUAUGACCUGGGCUACACACGUGCUACAAUGGAUGGUACAAAGAGCUGCGAACCCGCGAGGGUAAGCGAAUCUCAUAAAGCCAUUCUCAGUUCGGAUUGUAGGC
rnacentral:rRNA from 1 species